ACGUCAGGUUCGGGAGAACCCGGUCCCAAUCGUUCGUGGGUUGGUAUCGGUGCCGAAGGAGCAUCCGCCCCGGUAAACUCUCAGGCAAAAGGACCUUGCCUGGCUA
rnacentral:ncRNA from 2 species